rnacentral:misc_RNA from 1 species
CACGCAUUACGUCACGUGCAACGAAGCCACGCCCACUGUCCAUCAAUGUCCGGACAACACGUGUUUUGACGAAAUCUUCCAGACAUGUGCAGAUAUAUGUCUUGUCUGAUUGACAUUAACCAGUAUAUUUAAUGUUUGAAAAUAAUAAGACGAAUGGGAUAUCUUUUAUAUAAUCAUUAGAAUUUUUUAUAUUAAUUUCGUGUAUUGCUGUAUAUUUGUUGGAACAUGUAUUUAGUAAAAUCCAGCCGUACUGGAAAUAGGUUGCUUUUCUAUCAGCAGUGAAGAUUUUAACUUUAUACUUGGUAAUGUCGCAAGCGGAAUACAAGAAUAUGGGUGUGUGGAAGUAUAUAUUAACAUAGAUUAAUGGGGACGUAAAAUUGUCAGAAGUGAAUAGGUUCGGAGUUCAAUGAAAGUACAUAUUAACUGUACAAUAGUUAGCUUGUUGGGACAGGAUCCCAGUAGGAUUGUACAUAUUAACUUUACAAUAGUUAGCUUGUUGGGACAGGAUACCAGUAGGAUUGUACAUAUUAACUGUACAAUAGUUAGCUUGUUGGGACAGGAUACCAGUAGGAUUGUACAUAUUAACUGUACAAUAGUUAACUUGUUGGGACAGGAUACCAGUAGGAUUGUACAUAUUAACUGUACAAUAGUUAACUUGUUGGGACAGGAUACCAGUAGGAUUGUACAUAUUAACUGUACAAUAGUUAGCUUGUUGGGACAGGAUACCAGUAGGAUUGUACAUAUUAACUGUACAAUAGUUAGCUUGUUGGGACAAGAUACCAGUAGGAUUGUACAUAUUAACUGUACAAUAGUUAGCUUGUUGGGACAGGAUACCAGUAGGAUUGUACAUAUUAACUGUACAAUAGUUAACUUGUUGGGACAGGAUACCAGUAGGAUUGUACAUAUUAACUGUACAAUAGUUAACUUGUUGGGACAAGAUACCAGUAGGAUUGAGCUUGUUGGGACAGGAUACCAGUAGGAUUGCGUUAAGAAACAAAGACUCCAUCGAUCAAACAAUCUUAAAAGUAACUAUCCACUUCACAACAGAUAGAUAAAACAGAAGACCCCUUUUUCUCACAAGUAAAAUUUAUUUCUCUAAAGUUAAACAAGAAAAGAAUGCACCAACAUGCAGUGUAUAUUAUGCUUUACAAACCCCGCCCCCAAAAUACAUGUGAUAUAAGUAGAAUUGUGCCGUUGCUAUGGCACCAUUUGACAUCAAUUUUAAAAGUAUGUCGAUUAAAAAAUUGGUUUUCAGAAGAUUAUAAUUCUUGGGUCUGAUUUACCCUUGCAAAAAUAAAGGUCAAAAACUUGAUAGCGGCCUUAAACUAUUAAACCUGAGGUCAAGGUCAGAGCUAAACUAGUUACAUCAAGUUGUCCAACUUGACCAUCAGAACGUUAUGUGUGAAUCCUGAAUGUAAAAGGAACACACACGCGACAGUGAACGCUUGUGAUGCAGCAAAGAGCAAAGCGGAAAAAUACACCAUGUAAUUAUCCUCCAAAGAUAAAAAUCACAACAAGAAUUUAACGACGAUUCAACAAGCUGAAAGUGAGGCUUUGAUUGAGCCGACACAGCAGAAAUGUUUUUGAGUCUCUACAAUGUUUCUCAUGCAGACAAUAGGAAUAGCUCUUUCAUUAUAAACCAAAAAUUUCCAAAGAGCAGUUUUUAUCCCAUGCAUGUUGAAGUUGUGUACAUUCCAAUCCAACAACAAGUCAAUACACAGUGCAUAGUGAUAACACCAUCAGGAAUCUGUUAUUUACAACUGAUCACAAGUUCUGUAGCAAUAACAAUUUGUAACAAUUUAACUGUAACACCAAAUUCUAUUACAAGGAACAAUUUGUAACAAUUUAACUGUAACACCAAAUUCUAUUACCAGGUAACAAUCAAACUGUAAUUAACAAUCUAAGACUUAUGGUUUUUAACAAAGUUUAAUAAAUUUUAACAUG